rnacentral:rRNA from 1 species
GUGGCAGACGGGUGAGUAACGCGUGGGAACGUGCCUUUCGGUUCGGAAUAAUCCAGGGAAACUUGGACUAAUACCGGAUACGCCCUUCGGGGGAAAGAUUUAUCGCCGAAAGAUCGGCCCGCGUCUGAUUAGCUAGUUGGUAAGGUAACGGCUUACCAAGGCAACGAUGCGUAGCCGACCUGAGAGGGUGAUCGGCCACACUGGAACUGAGACACGGUCCAGACUCCUACGGGAGGCAGCAGUAGGGAAUCUUCCGCAAUGGGCGAAAGCUUGACGGAGCAACGCCGCGUGAGUGAUGAAGGUCUUCGGAUCGUAAAACUCUGUAAUUAGGGAAGAACAAAUGUGUAAGUAACUAUGCACGUCUUGACGGUACCUAGUCAGAAAGCCACGGCUAACUACGUGCCAGCAGCCGCGGUAAUACGUAGGUGGCAAGCGUUAUCCGGAAUUAUUGGGCGUAAAGCGCGCGUAGGCGGUUUUUUAAGUCUGAUGUGAAAGCCCACGGCUCAACCGUGGAGGGUCAUUGGAAACUGGAAAACUUGAGUGCAGAAGAGGAAAGUGGAAUUCCAUGUGUAGCGGUGAAAUGCGC